GCGAACGGGUGAGGAAUGCAUGGGUAACCUACCCUCGAGUGGGGAAUAACUAGCCGAAAGGUUAGCUAAUACCGCAUACGUUUCCGGGACCUCGGUUCCGGAAAGAAAGCAAUACCGUGGGUAUUGCGCUCAUGGAUGGGCUCAUGUCCUAUCAGCUUGUUGGUGAGGUAACGGCUCACCAAGGCUUCGACGGGUAGCUGUCUGAGAGGACGAUCAGCCACACUGGCACUGCGACACGGGCCAGACUCCUACGGGAGGCAGCAGUAAGGAAUAUUGCGCAAUGGACGAAAGUCUGACGCAGCGACGCCGCGUGGGGGAUGAAGGUCUUCGGAUUGUAAACCCCUUUCGGGAGGGAAGAGGAGUGGGUAACCACUGGACGGACCUCCAGAAGCAGCCACGGUAA
rnacentral:rRNA from 1 species